rnacentral:rRNA from 1 species
GACGAGCCACACGAACGUUAUUCGGAAUUACUGGGCUUAAAGGGUGCGUAGGCUGCGCGGAAAGUUGGGUGUGAAAUCCCUCGGCUCAACCGAGGAACUGCGCCCAAAACUGCCGUGCUCGAGGAAGAUAGAGGUAAGCGGAACUUACGGUGGAGCGGUGAAAUGCGUUGAUAUCGGAAGGAACAUCGGUGGCGAAAGCGGCGCGCUGGAUCCCUUCUGACGCUGAGGCGCGAAAGCCAGGGGAGCGAACGGG